rnacentral:rRNA from 1 species
UUCGCCCUUAGAGUUUGAUCCUGGCUCAGGACGAACGCUGGCGGCGCGCCUAACACAUGCAAGUCGAACGAGCGAGAGAGAGCUUGCUUUCUCGAGCGAGUGGCGAACGGGUGAGUAACGCGUGAGGAACCUGCCUCAAAGAGGGGGACAACAGUUGGAAACGACUGCUAAUACCGCAUAAGCCCGCGGGUCGGCAUCGACCAGAGGGAAAAGGAGCAAUCCGCUUUGAGAUGGCCUCGCGUCCGAUUAGCUAGUUGGUGAGGUAACGGCCCACCAAGGCGACGAUCGGUAGCCGGACUGAGAGGUUGAACGGCCACAUUGGGACUGAGACACGGCCCAGACUCCUACGGGAGGCAGCAGUGGGGAAUAUUGCACAAUGGGGGAAACCCUGAUGCAGCGACGCCGCGUGGAGGAAGAAGGUCUUCGGAUUGUAAACUCCUGCUGUUGAGGAAGAUAAUGACGGUACUCAACAAGGAAGUGACGGCUAACUACGUGCCAGCAGCCGCGGUAAAACGUAGGUCACAAGCGUUGUCCGGAAUUACUGGGUGUAAAGGGAGCGCAGGCGGGAAGACAAGUUGGAAGUGAAAUCCAUGGGCUCAACCCAUGAACUGCUUUCAAAACUGUUUUUCUUGAGUAGUGCAGAGGUAGGCGGAAUUCCCGGUGUAGCGGUGGAAUGCGUAGAUAUCGGGAGGAACACCAGUGGCGAAGGCGGCCUACUGGGCACCAACUGACGCUGAGGCUCGAAAGUGUGGGUAGCAAACAGGAUUAGAUACCCUGGUAGUCCACACCGUAAACGAUGAUUACUAGGUGUUGGAGGGUUGACCCCUUCAGUGCCGCAGUUAACACAAUAAGUAAUCCACCUGGGGAGUACGACCGCAAGGUUGAAACUCAAAGGAAUUGACGGGGGCCCGCACAAGCAGUGGAGUAUGUGGUUUAAUUCGACGCAACGCGAAGAACCUUACCAAGUCUUGACAUCCCUUGACGAUGCUGGAAACAGUAUUUCUCUUCGGAGCAAGGAGACAGGUGGUGCAUGGUUGUCGUCAGCUCGUGUCGUGAGAUGUUGGGUUAAGUCCCGCAACGAGCGCAACCCUUAUGGUCAGUUACUACGCAAGAGGACUCUGGCCAGACUGCCGUUGACAAAACGGAGGAAGGUGGGGAUGACGUCAAAUCAUCAUGCCCUUUAUGACUUGGGCUACACACGUACUACAAUGGCGUUAAACAAAGAGAAGCAAGACCGCGAGGUGGAGCAAAACUCAGAAACAACGUCCCAGUUCGGACUGCAGGCUGCAACUCGCUUGCACGAAGUCGGAAUUGCUAGUAAUCGUGGAUCAGCAUGCUACGGUGGAUACGUUCCCGGGCCUUGUACACACCGCCCGUCA